UUUUAAUUCAUAUUUUUAUUACAGGUGAUAGAUGUCUGAACUAACCCAAAGGCAUGGUGCUUGGCAAAGUUAUGGAAGAGCAUGACCUCACAGCCAGUGAAGUGGCUUGUUUUGUGAAUGAAAGCUGGAUGCCUUUAGCAGGAUGGCAUUAACACUGACCUCUGCUCAUGCAUUGAAUUCCUGCCCAGUGGGAGAGCCAAGGGAACAUUUGGAGAAUCAACUGCAUCUGUGCUCCUUUUUACACAGUCAGCAGAUUCAUAACUAUCCUCCUUCUCUUCCUUGUCACUUUGACUACCAAGUUGCUUCAGGGGUAGAUGGAGGAGCGACUGUCCUGAAAGAAGAGUGCAUAGACCAAAGUCUACAAGGACUAGUUUGAACUACUCUCACCAGCUAAGACAACACUUCUUCUCUAUAAGGUGUGGGACUCACUCUUUGGGUACUGCACUGACCAGACUAACUCUCUAUUCCUGCUACAUACCUGGGACCUAGCCACACACAGGAUGCUCCAUGCUACUAUGGGAGAGCUCAUGCUGCCUGGAAAGCAGCAGGGCUCCCAGGUGCCAGAGACUGAAAUGGUUAAUAGCUUAAGCAUUGCUAAGAUCACCAAAAGACUUUUAUCUGCUGCAGCAAACUGCAAAGAAACAGCUGCUCAUCCACCAAAGCCCACUCCUCCCUGAAGAUGCCUGCUGAUUUGGACUGCAAAAGGACCUUGAGGUAAGAUAAGGUGGUACUAUUGUCCAGCUAGCCAGGUCAAAGGACAAUGUAUCCAGAAGUGUAAGAGAUUGAAUUGCUAACAUUGGCACCUGCAGUAACCACCCAGGUGCUGCAAGAGAUGGGUGCUCAUGGCUCAAACAACGGGCUGGGUGCUUUGCUCCUGGUGCACAGAGUGGUCUCCCAGGUGCAGAAGGGCAGGCACACCUGGGGCUACAAACUGGGUUUCCAGAUAAGGCAAGAGGCUGAUAAGAGGCAGAUCCUGCUAGGUGGGACAGUCCUUCUUAUCAUUCCAGUGUCCUCCUUUACAUAGUGGCAGCUGUGAAAACCCUUCUGGGAGCACCAAGGACAUUCACACGAAGCCUGAGCUAUUCAUCUGGGGUGAUGGACCAUAAGGGGCCGUGAUUGACUCAACUAGUGUUAAGAGACAGCUGCAGAAUCUCAGAAGGUAUCAAAGACUCAUGAAAUGUACUUGAUCCAGUAUUACAUCAUCCAGGAGAGGUACCAAGAGCGUUUCCACCUAACCCCUGAACAAUAUAAACCCCACUAAAGGAGACUUUUGUGGAUUCUUUUCCCCUACCACUUACUGUGUACAGUCUGCAACCAUUGAGAAGACCAAUGGGAUGCUAUCAGAAUCUGUGGAGUGGUGAUAUAUUUUUUCUACUUAAUCUGUCUCUCUUUGUCUUUCCCUUACUUCUCUCUACCAUCCAUUUACUUUUAAAUAAAAUCCAUGCUAUUGACUUCAGCAUAUGGUUUACAUUUAAUUCAGGCAGAGUCAUCUCAUGAUUUUA